rnacentral:lncRNA from 10 species
AUAAAAGCAGGCUGCCCCAGCCAGCAGUGGUAACCUGCUGGGGUUCCCUUCCACGCUGUGGGAGGUUUGUUCUUUCGCUCUUUGCAAUAAUUCUUGCUGCUGCUCACUCCUUGGGUCCACACUGCCUUUAUGAGCUGUAACACUCACUGUGAAGGUCUGCAGCUUCAGUCCUGAAGCCAGCGAGACCACGAGCCCACCAGAAGGAACGAACGACUGCAGACGUGCCGCCUUAAGAGCUAUAACACUCACCUCGAAGAUCCGCAGCUUCACUCCUGAGCCAGCGAGACCAAGAACCCACCAGAAGGAAGAAACUGCCAACACAUCCGAACAUCAGAAGGAACGAGCUCCAGACACGCAGCCUUUAAGAACUGUAACACUCACUGCGAGGGUUCGCGGCUUCAUUCUUGAAGUCAGUGAGACCAAGAACCCACCAAUUCCGGACCCACUGGCAUUACAGGCGUGAAUCACUGUGUCUGGCCAAAAAGGAUCUAAUCUUAUAGCAGUGGAAUGAGGGGGAAGCCCAGCAAGGCCCAUCUGUUUGGAGUCUUCCUGGACUUCUGGGGCCUGACCCUUUUGGAACGGGGGUUUUAAGAUUCAUAAUCGACAAAGUUGUUCCUACUUUGGCCAUUGGAGCUCUUUCCAGUUAGCUUCUCUUCCUUGGACAGCUUCCAUACGUUUUUGAGCACUUCCUUAUUUCUGACACCAGAAGAUGACUCAGGCUUGACUUGUAUUCUCCCCGUCCAACAAUGGAAUCUGCCAUUUCUCCAAGGAGCCCUGAUUCCUUUUAUUUGAGCGUGAUCCAUCUGCAGUUUCCAGAUCUUCAUAAC